GUCAGGAUGGCUGAGCGGUCUAAGGCGCUGCGUUCAGGUCGCAGUCUCCACUGGAGGCGUGGGUUCAAAUUCCCACUUCUGAUA
rnacentral:tRNA from 1 species